rnacentral:rRNA from 1 species
GACGUAGGGCGCGAGCGUUGUCCGGAUUUAUUGGGCGUAAAGAGCUCGUAGGCGGCUUGUCGCGUCGUCCGUGAAAACUUGGGGCUCAACCCCAAGCUUGCGGUCGAUACGGGCAGGCUAGAGUUCGGUAGGGGAGACUGGAAUUCCUGGUGUAGCGGUGAAAUGCGCAGAUAUCAGGAGGAACACCGGUGGCGAAGGCGGGUCUCUGGGCCGGUACUGACGCUGAGGAGCGAAAGCGUGGGGAGCGAACAGG